rnacentral:lncRNA from 1 species
UCGCCUCUUCAUUUGCUCAGCUACGGGUUUGGCUCCAUUUCAGCUCCAUAAUGUCCAUAAUGUACCUAGACCUAUAAAUAUACUAGAAUAGACCAAACAUAACAUAAAGACUCUAAAUAAGAUAUAUACUAUGGCAUAAAAAGUGGUCAAAUCCAUAGUAUAUCAACUCUCUCUGACUUAUCAUUUUGCUUGUCUUCAAGGAAAACAUAGAACAAUUUAUAGAAGUACUAUCAAGUAUCUCUGGAAAAGGUUUGAAAACGUCGGAAACGCAAAACAAUUUAUAGAAGUACUACCAAGUAUCUCCGCAAAUAAUAUAAAUGGAACUGAACGAUCACUGACCUCAAAAGUGAUUUUCAAUGACUGCACACUAGCUUAGCAACCAUUUCAUACACCA